CCAAAAAAAAGUACUCCUGUUUGAUUCGUAAUAAUGUCUAAACAAGUAAAGCUUUUAAAGAGAAACAACUUGCAUCAAAUAGAGGAAGGACUAACUUAGAUUUUGAUAUAUUACAGUUGUAUUUCACUUAAAAAUUCGCGGAGAUAUUAAUCUUUAAAAUCGGGAGCAUAUUUCUGGAUGUGUCCGAAAUAUGCAAAAAACGGCGUAUCAAAUAUUAAUCAAGAUUUGCCCGACUGAAACGUGCACUAUUACCAGUAAAUAAAUGACACUUGACAAAUUGUUUAUUAUGAAACAAAGUAUUAUUAUAUCUACAAAAAACAAGCAAGAUUUAUUCGUCCGAAAUUCGUAUGUGUUCCUAGCACGAAUACGUUUCCUUAUUUCAUGAGACCACUGCAUCACGAAGGAUCGUCAUGGAUCGUUCGUAGUUCUGAAUUAAGGCAUGCUGUCACAACGGAAUUGUGAAGCUCUUCUAACUUCUGCAACGUUCUGAAAUCUUGUUAAGAACAC